rnacentral:rRNA from 1 species
GACGAACGCUGGCGGCGUGCUUAACACAUGCAAGUCGAACGGAAAGGCGGUGCUUUUGUGGCGUGCCCUCGUGGGGAGACGGGGAGUUAAACGUGAGUCAACUGCCCUUGAAUACUGGGUAACUUCCGGGAAAUGGGGGCAGUAACGGAUAGAAUCUUUUGCUGCCUGGUGGGGGUGGGAAAGUUUCGGCGGUUGGUGAUUGAUUCGGGGGUCAUCAGCGAGUUGGUGGGGUAACGGCUCACCAAGGCGUCGAUGCGUAGCCGACCUGAGAGGGUGAUCGGCCACACUGGGACUGAGACACGGACCAGACUCCUACGGGAGGCAGCAGUAGGGAAUCUUCCGCAAUGGACGAAAGUCUGACGGAGCAACGCCGCGUGAGUGAUGAAGGUUCUCGGAUCGUAAAACUCUGUUGUCAGGGAAGAACAAGUACCGGAGUAACUGCCGGUACCUUGACGGUACCUGACAAGAAAGCCACGGCUAACUACGUG